ensembl:lncRNA
AUGCUCCGCACACUGGAGAUGCUGGCCAGGGGCUCUCGCAUUCGAAAGCUGAGCGACCGGGCGCCCCGAAAGCUGUCCCUGGGCCUCAGCGAGCUGUCCGUGGUGGAGGCUCCGGAGUGGGCCUCGCUGACCUGGGCCAGGCAGUCCCUGGGCCCCUGCAGGCCCAGCCUAAGACACCCGCAGCACAGUCGCCACCCUUCCCUGGACUGGGCAACCCCUGCCCCCACGAGCUACCCUCUCCAGGACCCGGCUAUUCUCUUCGACUGCUCCAAGCCUGUCCGACACACAGACGCACCUGCAGCAUGCCCGUGCACAGAAGGGGAGACUGAGGCCUGGAGGGGCGGUUCCAGCUGUCUCCAGCGGGAGCCCAGGGAACGGUGCAGUUACAGGGACCUGCAGAUAGAGGUGCUGCCUGGGGAGGCGGUAGCUUCUUGUCACUGGAGGCGACCAAGCAGAAGCAGGCCUGAAGAGGAGGCUGUGGGAGCAAGGGCUGCCCAGGCAGGGGGGCUACCAGGCUGGGGCAGGGCCCUGAGUACCUGAGAACUGAGCCUUGGUCUCAACUUCACAAGGAACCACCCAACUCAGGCACAUUCACAGAGACACACAUUGUGUGUUCUGAGGCUGAGCCUGGGCCCUGAAAUGGUACCUGAUGCCAGACUGAGCCCUGAGCCCAGACUGAGCCCUGAUCCCAGAUCCCAGAUUGAGCCCUGAUCCUGAACUGAUCCCUGAGCCCAGACUGAGCCCUGAUCCCGGACUGAGCCCUGAUCCUAGACUGAACCCUGAUCCUGAACUAAACCCCAGUCCUGGACUGAUCCCUGAUUCCUGGCUGAACCCUGACCUUGGCUGAGUAUGUGACUAUAGGCUGGCCACAACUCUGGCCCCUGACCCUGACUGAGACCUGGCCCUGUACUGAACCCUGAUCCCAAGCUGAGCCCCAAUUCUAAUUGAGCCCCAACCCCCACCUAACCCCCACUCCAGCUACAUCCCUGAUUCUAGGCUCAGAGCAAAUUCAGGACUAAAGUAAACAUAAUGAGAGAGCAGAGUGUGACCAGCAAGGCCAAGCCAUCCAACAAUGACUUUCUGCCAUGGAUUACCUGCUGCCUGGUGGAAGGCCCUUUGUGCAUCACACCUGAUUUCAUCUCAGGAUUAUCGCCAUGCUGCAUAAGAGCAAUCCCCCCGCUAGAAACCUGCCCAAAGACACACCUCUGACCUUGUGCAAGCAUGCGUGCAGAAGGUUAUUCACCGUGGUUUGUAAAUGCAAAAUAUCGGAAGUAGCCCAAAUGUCUACACACGGGAGAGGCUGACCAGCCACAGCGCAUCAGAGCCCAGAGUACCACCUGGCCACGAACAAGAGUGGAUCAGAGCCACCUGCAGGUCACACUGUUCCGUGGGAAACAAGUAGGAAAAGGCAUAGGUGUUAGACUAGCUUCUGUGAAACAAAGAAGGGGGCUGACACGUACACACAGCUGCUUGUUUUUGCAAAAGAAACGUGGGAAAGAUGAACCAGGAACCAAUGGCAUCGGUUCCCUAUGGGGGGUGGGUAGAGUCGGAAGGAGGAGGGGACGACAACCUCUGAACACUCCUGUUUGUGCAGUUGUCAAACUCUGUCUAUGCUUUCUAUAUUCCACACUAAAAUUAAAUCAACAAGGGUGCGGGAAGAAAGCUUGAGAAUGGGUUAUAAACCGAAAACGGAUGAACCGAACUCUGUUUCGGAUGAAAAACAUAACCACACAGAAAGAGAGGAGAACGAGCCCACGCAACUUUUGGACACACACUUGCUCUAAAGACAAAAGGAACUACAAGAAAAAAAUGUGCACUUUGUGUAGUAGAUUUGUUUCCGGGAGCGGUAGAGCUGUAGUGAUUCUGAAACUCUCCUGUGUAUUAUGGGACCGAGCAAAGUAGCAAGUGUCCUGAUGUUAUUAAGAACCAGAUCUCCACUGGGGAGGAAAUACAAAGUAAAUAUGGAGCAGCACUCAACCCCACGGGGAUGGACUGGGAUCGGCGUGGACCCGAGACGUAAACAAAAAUCUAUUUCGUCGCUCUGUCCGCUGAGACAAGCCAGGAACAUCUAGCCCGCAUGAGGAUCUCGGCUUCUAAGUAGCACCUGCAGGGCUCCUGGGAGAAGCGGCUGAUUCCAGGCAUGGGGCAGGGAGAGUGCCUGAUGGGCCUGGAACAUCUUGGUUUGCCAGAGAGGCAGGAAGUGCCCCGAGAAGGACGGGGACCUGUCGGAGACACAGAAGCCAGCCUGGCGGGGCGGCCGCUGGCCAAGCCCAGAGUGUGAGCACCAGCACUGCGACCUUAACGUUGGAGAGACUGGAAGUAGGGGUUGCGUGUGGGGUCGGGGGGGGGCAGUCAGUGUUUGAUGGGGACGGAGGUCAGGUUUAGCAGAUGAAGAGGGUCCUGGAGGUCGGUGGAGGGCAUGGUGCACGACAUUACGAAUGUGUUUAACGCCCACUGAACUGGGCACUGAAAAUGCUUAAGAUGGCGCAUUUUUAGGUAAAGUGUAUUUUACCACAAUAAAACAACUUAGGGGGAAAAAAAGAAUAUUCUU